GACGAACGCUGGCGGCGUGCUUAACACAUGCAAGUCGAACGGAAAGGCCUUUUCGGCGGUACUCGAGUGGCGAACGGGUGAGUAACACGUGGGUGAUCUGCCCUGCACUCUGGGAUAAGCCUGGGAAACUGGGUCUAAUACCGGAUAGGACCGCACUUUAGUGUGUGUGGUGGAAAGUUUUUUCGGUGUAGGAUGAGCCCGCGGCCUAUCAGCUUGUUGGUGGGGUAAUGGCCUACCAAGGCGGCGACGGGUAGCCGGACUGAGAGGUUGGUCGGCCACAUUGGGACUGAGAUACGGCCCAGACUCCUACGGGAGGCAGCAGUGGGGAAUAUUGCACAAUGGGCGCAAGCCUGAUGCAGCGACGCCGCGUGGGGGAUGACGGCCUUCGGGUUGUAAACUCCUUUCGCCAGGGACGAAGCGUUUUGUGACGGUACCUGGAAAAGAGGCACCGGCUAACUACGUG
rnacentral:rRNA from 1 species